UCCUGAACCAGGAAGCAGUGAAAAAGGGUCCUUCCGAGUCACCAUCCGAAUUCCUGGAUCAUCUGAGGGACACAAUGCUCCGCAAUACAUCGCUGGAUCCUGAGACCGAGAUCUAAAGGAUGCCUUCUUUUGCCUCCCUCUCCAUGAAGUCAGCCAGAAAAUUUUUGCAUUCGAAUGGGAAAGCCCUGAGAGUGGGUGCAAAACUCA